CCCUGCUUGGUGAAGCUUUCCUCUGUGAACUUGGAAUCUUCUGGUACAGACAAACUGCUGCCAUUAGAAGGAAGUUGAUAAAAAUGAAUUAAAACAGGUACAUGUGCACAAGUAUCACGUUCUGACUUCAAUGUAAGCCUGAAAUCUCUUCCCGGCCCCCCAGCCGAGGCCGUACCAACGUGAGGGCCACCUCCAGCAUCGGCGCCAGCGCCAGCGUGCCGUGGAACAGCGGGAUGCAGUCGACGAAUAGCGAAGGCG